rnacentral:rRNA from 1 species
GACGUAGGGAGCGAGCGUUGUCCGGAUUCAUUGGGCGUAAAGAGCGCGCAGGCGGCUUGGUAAGUCGGAUGUGAAAACCCGGAGCUCAACUCCGGGCGUGCACCCGAAACUGCCCGGCUAGAGGUAGGUAGGGGAGAUCGGAAUUCCUGGUGUAGCGGUGGAAUGCGCAGAUAUCAGGAGGAACACCGGUGGCGAAGGCGGAUCUCUGGGCCUUACCUGACGCUCAGGCGCGAAAGCUAGGGGAGCGAACAGG